rnacentral:rRNA from 1 species
UAGGGAAUAUUGCAAAAUGGGCGAAAGCCCGAUGCAGCAACGCCGCGUGGGCGAUGAAGGCCUUCGGGUCGUAAAGCCCUUUUUGAGGGGAUGAGGAAGGACAGUACCCUCAGAAUAAGCCUCGGCUAACUACGUGCCAGCAGCCGCGGUAAAACGUAGGAGGCGAGCGUUAUCCGGAUUUACUGGGCGUAAAGCGCGUGCAGGCGGAUUGGAGAGUUGGAUGUGAAAGCUCCCGGCUUAACUGGGAGAGGUCGUUCAAUACUUCCAGUCUUGAGUGCAGUAGAGGGAAGUGGAAUUCCGGGUGUAGUGGUGAGAUGCGUAGAUAUCCGGAGGAACACCAGUGGCGAAAGCGGCUUCCUGGACUGUAACUGACGCUCAGACGCGAAAGCUAGGGUAGCAAACG